GACGAACGCUGGCGGCGUGCUUAACACAUGCAAGUCGAACGGAAAGGCCCUGCUUUUGUGGGGUGCUCGAGUGGCGAACGGGUGAGUAACACGUGAGUAACCUGCCCUUGACUUUGGGAUAACUUCAGGAAACUGGGGCUAAUACCGGAUAGGAGCUCCUGCUGCAUGGUGGGGGUUGGAAAGUUUCGGCGGUUGGGGAUGGACUCGCGGCUUAUCAGCUUGUUGGUGGGGUAGUGGCUUACCAAGGCUUUGACGGGUAGCCGGCCUGAGAGGGUGAACGGCCACAUUGGGACUGCGAUACGGCCCAGACUCCUACGGGAGGCAGCAGGGGGGAAUAUUGCACAAUGGGCGGAAGCCUGAUGCAGCAACGCCGCGUGCGGGAUGACGGCCUUCGGGUUGUAAACCGCUUUCGCCUGUGACGAAGCGUGAGUGACGGUAAUGGGUAAAGAAGCACCGGCUAACUACGUG
rnacentral:rRNA from 1 species